rnacentral:rRNA from 1 species
UAAUACGUAGGGGGCCAGCGUUGCUCGGAAUUACUGGGCGUAAAGGGUUCGUAGGUGGUGCGGCAAGUUGGGAGUGAAAUCUCUGGGCUUAACCCAGAGGCUGCUUUCAAAACUGCCGCGCUCGAGUGCGAGAGAGGUCAGUGGAAUUGCAGGUGUAGCGGUGAAAUGCGUAGAUAUCUGCAGGAACACCCGUGGCGAAGGCGGCUGACUGGAUCGCAACUGACACUGAGGAACGAAAGCUAGGGGAGCAAACAGGAUUAGAUACCCUGGUAGUCCUAGCCCUAAACCAUCAGAACUUGGGGUGGCCCGCGUAGGCGGGUCGUCCCGUAGCUAACGCGUUAAGUUCUGCGCCUGGGGAGUACGGUCGCAAGACUG